UACUUGAAAACUAUAAAAUUCAUUAAAAUAGUGAGAGACACAAUUAGACAAAAGUCCUAAUCUAGUUGUGCAUGUCAUCAUGAGUUGUCUGCUUAUAUUAUGUUCUUAUUAUUAUAGAUUAACUGCAUACAUGACAUUCUCACUAUCACUACGAGAUAUACUAGAUGCUAACAAAUUGAUUGGACCAAACUAUAUGGACUGAUUGAAAAAUUUGAGAAUUAUUCUCACACAGAAGAAAGUCUCCUACAUACUAGAUUCAUCUGCACUC
rnacentral:lncRNA from 1 species